rnacentral:lncRNA from 1 species
UGUGUUUCUAAGGCUGCAUAGUUUUUGCUCUGUGGUCACAUACUGUGUGACUACUGGAGUUAAUGUCAAUAAACUAUUCUUCGGGACAGGCACAAAAUUGAUCAUCGGAACAAAAAAACAAGAACCGCCUGCCUAUUACAAAUUUAAUGAGUCAUGCUUGGCAACCGACUUCACAAAAUAUGAUGAUGUAAAAUUCCAAGACGUUACACCAGUGCGAUAUGCAGAACGAAGUUACUACAGCAGCUUCACCUUUAAUGCUUCAGAAUACUGCCCGCAGAAAGGUAGGAAUUAUCCAACGUAUCACUUGCCAUUAAAAAAAAAAAAACAUUUCCUGAUUAAUUCCUCAAAUAUUUGGUUGCAUUAUAUUAAUCAUCUUUAUUCCACUUUUAGACUGUAAUCAAGGAUCAUCCAGUCAAAAUGCUGAUUUUGAAACGGGUAAGUGUGCUUUUAUUUGCACAUUUAUAGUGUGCUGUGCAUUUCAUUUAAUUUGCAGUCCAUUACUACUAGUCUGUUACUGCCUGUUGUUUGAACCGAAACAUCCAGCACUGUCAAACAUUAACUACACUCACAUAGAUUUCAAAUUGUGAAACUACUAGCUUCGGGGAAAAAAAACAUUACACACCAAAAAAAAAAACAUGAAAAUGCUGGAUUAUACCACAAAUUCCAUGGUAAAACCAAUAGACAUACUAAUUGCAUUUUUAUUCUGCAGAUGAAAAAACCAACUACAUGUCACUGGGCCUCUAUUGGCUGAGAAUUCUCUUUCUGAAGACUGUUGUGUUCAAUGUCCUGAUGACUUUCAAAGCAUGGAUGAGCUAACGUGAGUGAAAUGUUAUAUCUUGUGACAGUGGGUCUCAUUCACUAACUGCGUGUUAACACAUUUGUGUGUAAAAACAUUUUCAUACAGAAAUCAUUUAUUAAUAAGUUGCAGGAUAACAUUUAGAACCAACUGAAACCACACAUACAAAAACAACAGACUCCUAGCAGACUGUUUUACAGUCAUUUAACAAAAAAGGUUUGCAAAGUUGCAUAGUUUCUAAAAAUGGUCAAUCACAUGUAGUCUAGGUCUAUUUAAAAGGUAUUUGAUGAGAAUCAACCUGGUUGUGAAUGGCACACUUGGCUUUACUUGAAGAUUUUGCCGCAAAUGCUCUCAGAAUUUUUUUCUACAAACAU